UACGUAGGGUCCGAGCGUUGUCUGGAAUUACUGGGCGUAAAGAGCUCGUAGGUGGUUUGUCGCGUUGUUCGUGAAAACUCACAGCUCAACUGUGGGCGUGCGGGCGAUACGGGCAGACUUGAGUACUGCAGGGGAGACUGGAAUUCCUGGUGUAGCGGUGGAAUGCGCAGAUAUCAGGAGGAACACCGGUGGCGAAGGCGGCUCACUGGUCCGGUACUGACGCUGAGGUGCGAAAGCGUGGGGAGCGAACAGG
rnacentral:rRNA from 1 species